UGUUUCGGCUAGGGGGCCAUCCCGGCUUACCAACCCGAUGCAAACUGCGAAUACCGGAGAAUGUUAUCACGGGAGACACACGGCGGGUGCUAACGUCCGUCGUGAAGAGGGAAACAACCCAGACCGCCAGCUAAGGUCCCAAAGUCAUGGUUAAGUGGGAAACGAUGUGGGAAGGCCCAGACAGCCAGGAUGUUGGCUUAGAAGCAGCCAUCAUUUAAAGAAAGCGUAAUAGCUCACUGGUCGAGUCGGCCUGCGCGGAAGAUGUAACGGGGCUAAACCAUGCACCGAAGCUGCGGCAGCGACGCUGAUGCGUUGUUGGGUAGGGGAGC
rnacentral:rRNA from 1 species